rnacentral:lncRNA from 1 species
GCAGUUUUCCAGAGCUCCAGCACAGCAGAGCAGGCAGCUGGAUCAUGGAUUCUUUGCCUCCCUAGUACUUUGCUGUCCUGGAUAAUGGGCUACUUUGGUGUGCCUGGUGCUGGCCCUCAUCUGACAGCCUGUGUCUCUGGGAGGGUUUUUUCUGCACCAUCUCUUCCACUGCCACAAGGCAAUCAUUUGUGUGGGACUUAUUUGGUUCAGUGUUGCCAGCCUUCCCUGUGAUAGAAGGGGUGCAGCAGGACAAGACUGGUGGGUCUCCUUGCUGGUGAAUCCAGUCCUUCAGUAAAUUCCUAAUUCCUCUCUAAAGUGCAAAGGUGUAUUGGCUGACUGAAAAGUGUUAAGUACUGUAAUAAGGGAGUAAACACAAGGAUUUUGAAAUUAAAACUGCUCAAUUUGCUGAUACUAAACAACACUGUUGCCCAGCCUGGAAGAGUAAUGAAGGUUGCUUAAUUAAUACCAGAAGACAGACAGAAAUCUCCAGCUGUGUAACUCAGGGCUGUUUCAAAGCAGAAAAUAACAGGUAUGACUACAACUUGACUGAAUGCUUUGCCUAUAUAGAGACAUGCAGUCACAGAAGAAUUCCCUUUGUCUGACUGUGUCCCUACCACCACCAGGAAUGAAGACAACAGUAUUGAUGUGUCUGAGUGUCCACUCAAAAUAUGCAGGACUGCAUGUGGGAGUUGUGAGUCCUUGUUCCUUUUUGUUUGUUCUGUUUGGGCUGUGGGAAGCCUUCUAGCCACGGAAUGUGUAUACAAUGUAGAGCUUACUUGAAAAACUUAAAGGACUAAGAUUUGCUGGUUGUGUAUUAAACACUUGUUAUGGAAGAAAUGAGCACGGGUGGUUGUUUGAACUGCAGAAAGGUAAGAAUUCACAGGGUUUUUCAUUUGAAAGCUUCCAUACAGAAGCAGGGAAAGAGAAGGCUAAUUUUGUUGAUCAAGAAAUAGCAGAG